AUUUGAUUUAUGGAAAUCAUUUCGCGAUCCACCCCUCAGCGUCCCGCGACGCCCCGGGGGGUCCCGACCCCCACUUUGGGAACCCAUGUGUUAGUGAAUGUAA